GUAGCAAAAAUGGGCAAGUAGAAAGUGCCUUAAUCUUAUAUUCAUCUGAUGGUUUUCCCUUCAGAAGGCCUUCAAGUAGUUGUCCAGGGUCGUAGAAGAACUGCACCUUCACAACCUUGGAGUUCUCAUUCAAUUGUUCCAGGACCAUAAUUUGAGAACAAGUCCAAUUAUUAGGAUAGUAUUAGUUGGAUGAAGAAAAAAAGAGAGCAAAACUGGAAGUUGGAUAUAUGGUAUUAGCACAGGUACCUCAAAAAUGCCCAUCCCAAAAAAUUCAACCAUUUCUCUAGUUGGGGAAUUUCCUUUAAAAGGACCUUCCAUGAAACCCCAAUGCCUGAACUUGUAUACUAUCACCGGCAACCCUGAAUAUACGUGAAGGAUCUCCAAAGCGAAUCCACAUGGAAAUGUAGUCUUGAAAACCUUGAGAGCUGAUAGUUUCUUUAGCUGGAUCAUAAGCCCGGAAUUCCUCGGGCAAGGCAGUUUGCAAUAGCACAUUGUAGCCUCCCCCUAGUUUUCCAUUUUCUUCUAUGGUUAAAGGUUUACUCCCUGAAAAUUCAUCAGUUGCAAAACUACGAGUCUUACUAAAAGUGUUUUUUUAUAAACUCUUGCAAUUCCAAUUGGGUCUGUGCACUUGAGAUUAGAGGUUCAAAUGUUCGAUUUGGUAGGUAAAUAUAUGUAUUUUUUUCACUAUGAAUCAAAUUGGAAAUCUUCUGGUUGAAGUUUCAUAGUAAGAUGGGAUCUCAAGGGUAACAUUAUGAGCUUAGCUUUUCUGAGAUGUUGACAGGCACUUCUUUGUUCAGUUAUGCUAGAAAUCACGUCCACGCACAGAUUUUUGUUAUGUGGGUUCCAGAAACUGCAUUAUUCCUGCUUGCCACUUUUGAAUUGGGGACAGAUUUAUGUAAUAGUGAUACGUUGAGCUGGAUCUGGGCAACAAACUUUUUUUUUCCGUCUUUCACAUGGGGGUCCAAGUGAUAAUUGAUACCUUAAAACAAUCUUGGAUGUGGGAUUUAGUCACAUAGAGAGGAAAAAUUUUGUUACACUUCUACUGCCGAGGACUUUAUGCAUGGCCACUUUGUUCAUCCCAAGUAUUCUGUUUUACAUUAUCAUCAAUUAAUGAUGGUCCUACUUUCAUGAUAUCCCUCUUCUGACCAGAGUUUUCCUUUCGUUGAUAACUGUUUUAGUAUUAUAUGUACCUUUUUCACUAUGUGUUAGUAGUAUUUAUAGUAUUAUAUGUGGUGAUUGAAGAAGAAUUUCCUAGAACUAGCGAGAAUGAAGCCUCUCAAUCACAUAAGAAAGACACAAAUAUUGUGCAACUUGAUGAUGAGGAUGAUCUUGAUGAUAUCGACUUCGAAAGUUAUGAAAUUGGAGAUAAGGAUGAUGAAGAUGAAGAUGAAGAAUGGCUUAGAUAGUUCUUUGGAACAUGUUUUAUUUAGAUUGAUAUUUAUCAAGCAUUUGAACAUGAACUUGUUACCUUAUUUGGAUGGCUAUUUGUUAAGGAUUAAUCAUGUAUGGGAUUUCUAUUUUAUAAAUUUUGUGAGUUUGGAUGAA